AAAGCAAUGAAAAACUACAGCUGGAGAGGCUUUGCAGAGAAAAGCAAANACAACUCAUAUUUCCACACUCUAAAUAUCUGCCUACCCAUUGUUGGGUUUGGACAUUGCAACUCUGGCAUGGCAANUGCACGCAUGCCAGAUGGUGCCAANGGAGAAACAGNUUAUUCANUCUGCAUGGAGCCUUGUCAACACCCCUCCGUCCAGCCCUGUGAGNGCAGUGUUUAUACCACGUGUUCCAGCCAAGACCUAAAGGAGAAAGUCACCUGUCCUGGAUGCAGCGGAAUCUUUCCAGAAAAUAAGGCUGCCUCUAUCGAUCCUCGUGUGGAAACAGAAAAGGCAGCCCAGCAGACAAACAGGGCUCAGACUUUGUGUGAGAAACACAGGGAAAGCUUAAAUCUCUUCUGUGAAGAGGGUCAACCACCUCUUCAUCCCAUCUACCAAGAAUCCUGGGACCACAAGUCACAGACAGUGAUCCCCAGGAACCAGCCAGCAUGGACAGAAGGCCCGGGAACCAGAAGCCCCUUGAACGGGUGGGAAGAAAGUCUGCCAAAAUCAGAGCCCACGAGUCCUGCCGUUGUAGGGCCCUCCAACAUAAAAACUGACUUCACAGGGAAAGGAGAGGUGCCUGAUGGGAAUGAGGACGACAAUAAAGAGAAACGCCUACUGAUUGAGCAGUGGGUUGACUUCAACUUGGAAGAAAACAAGGAAAAAGACAUUCAUUCCAACUCCAGGAAUCAAAAUUCCAUCACNUGGAUUUUACUGAUAUUGUUCAUCAUCCAGAUUGUGGGUUUGGUAACAACCAUCUUUGUUUUCACAAAGGCUAAACCCAGUCUUCCAGUUGNGGCCANGGCCACCUCAUGCUGCCCACAUGGNUGGAUUAUGAACCAAGGAAACUGCUAUCACAUGGUGGAUAAAGAAAGGUCUUGGGAAGAAGGCCAGAUCGACUGUUCCUCUCUUGGUGCUACCUUGGCNGAGAUCAAUAACUUAGAAAAACUGAAUGUUGCAAUUUAUGACAAAGGCCCUCUCAACCACUGGAUCGGGCUCUUCAGAGGUACAACAGACGGCUGGAGAUGGCCGAAUGGAUCUGUCUUCAACAACCUGUGAGUUCUUUACCUUCCUCACUGAUGNGUNCUCCUCUGUUGUCA
rnacentral:lncRNA from 1 species